CGAAGGGGCUAGCGUUGUUCGGAAUUACUGGGGCGUAAAGCGCACGUAGGCGGAUAUUUAAGUCAGGGGUGAAAUCCCGCAGCUCAACUGCGGAACUGCCUUUGAUACUGGGUAUCUUGAGUAUGGAAGAGGUUAGUGGAAUUGCGAGUGUAGAGGUGAAAUUCGUAGAUAUUCGCAGGAACACCAGUGGCGAAGGCGGCUAACUGGUCCAUAACUGACGCUGAGGUGCGAAAGCGUGGGGGAGCAAACAGGAUU
rnacentral:rRNA from 1 species